rnacentral:tmRNA from 1 species
GCUUAAUCGAAAAAAAAUCAACCCAAGGUGCAUGCCGAGGGGCGGUUGGCCUCGUAAAAAGCCGCAAAAAAUAGUCGCAAACGACGAAAACUACGCUUUAGCAGCUUAAUAACCUGCUUAGAGCCCUCUCUCCCUAGCCUCCGCUCUUAGGACGGGGAUCAAGAGAGGUCAAACCCAAAAGAGAUCGCGUGGAAGCCCUGCCUGGGGUUGAAGCGUUAAAACUUAAUCAGGCUAGUUUGUUAGUGGCGUGUCCGUCCGCAGCUGGCAAGCGAAUGUAAAGACUGACUAAGCAUGUAGUACCGAGGAUGUAGGAAUUUCGGACGCGGGUUCAACUCCCGCCAGCUCCACCA